rnacentral:lncRNA from 1 species
AACAGUAAUAAUAUAUAUGUUCCUGGCCUGGUAAACUUGUUGUCUCCUUGUGAAAUAUAAAACAUAUUAAAAAUGAUUUCCUGCUUAAGUCUUUUAUUGAUAUAAAGUCAAAACCUUCUUGCUUUUCACUAGACAACCAUGUCCUGUCAGGUUUAAUUCUUAUAUAUGUAGAUGAAAAAUAAAAGUGUCCCAAAACAUUAACAUGGCAGCAAUUGCUUUUACAGCCUUUAAGGCUUUGAUUUUUUUUUUACAGAAGAGUGUCCACCAUGCACUUGCACUGCACUAUAAUAAUAGUAGAAUAGAAUUAUCAUAUAUACAAAUAGAUGAAAAUGAUAUUUAUCGGUCGUCCAACUGUCUAUAUCAAUCUGCUCAGCUCUUAAUAAAACUCCAUAUCACGGCUUUGUGACGUCAAAUACGUUGACCUGGCCUUAAUAACUUUGACCCGGACAUAUCAGCGACGUCAUAAUGUUUGAACCGACGUUGAUAAGUUUGACCCGAACUUAUCAAGUCAACUUCCGGUUGCUGGUGAAACUAAGACAAUACUUCCAAAAGACGCAAAUGCAGCCCGAUAAAUCGAUUAUCAGGUUAUCGGCAUAUUAAUAUUGUAAAAUAUCAGCUGCUCGACAUAUUAUGAAGGCUUUUUGAUCUCGUUCGCUGCGCUUACUCGACAAAAAGCUUAAUAUUAUGUCUCGCAGCUGAUAUUUUACGAUAUCAACAUGCAGACAACCUGAUAAUCGGUACAUACAUGCAAUCGUAAUAUUAAUAAUAUAUAUAAC